rnacentral:rRNA from 1 species
AGGACGAACGCUGGCGGCGUGCUUAACACAUGCAAGUCACGGGGGCCCGCAAGGGUAACCGGCGAACGGGUGCGUAACACGUGAACAACCUGCCCUCGUGUGGGGGAUAGCCGGGCUAACGCCCGGGUAAUACCGCAUACGGUCAUCGAGAGGAGUCUCUUGGUGAAGAAAGCUCCGGCGCACGGGGAGGGGUUCGCGGCCUAUCAGCUAGUUGGCGGGGUAAUGGCCCACCAAGGCGACGACGGGUAGCUGGUCUGAGAGGAUGGUCAGCCGGACUGGGACUGAGAUACGGCCCAGACUCCUACGGGGGGCAGCAAUUAGGAAUCUUGCGCAAUGGGGGCAACCCUGACGCAGCGACGCCGCGUGGAGGAUGACGGCCUUCGGGUUGUAAACUCCUUUUAUCGGGGAAGAAACAAAUGACGGUACCCGAUGAAUAAGCCCGGCUAACUCCGCGCCAGCACGCCGC